rnacentral:pre_miRNA from 1 species
AAAAAGAUAAACCCUCGGUUUCCGUGUCCAAUUUUAACUGUCCGUCUUAUAUGAAAUUUUUUUAUAAUUCGUAUUUUCAUUGUUGUUAGAUAAUAAAAUAUGAUUAAUAUUUUAUUCGUGACUUGUCUUUUUAUUUUUUUUCAUAAUUUUUUCAAAUAAGACGAACGGUUAAACGUUGGGCACGGAAACCAGAGUUUGUCUUUUUU